CCUACGGGGGGCAGCAGUAGGGAAUAUUGCUCAAUGGGGGAAACCCUGAAGCAGCAACGCCGCGUGGAGGAUGAAGGUUUUCGGAUUGUAAACUCCUUUUGUUAGAGAAGAGAAUGACGGUAUCUAACGAAUAAGCACCGGCUAACUCCGUGCCAGCAGCCGCGGUAAUACGGAGGGGGCAAGCGUUACUCGGAAUCACUGGGCGUAAAGAGGGCGUAGGCGGGAUAGCAAGUCAGAUGUGAAAUCCUAUGGCUUAACCAUAGAACUGCAUUUGAAACUGUUAUUCUAGAGUAUGGGAGAGGUAGGUGGAAUUCUUGGUGUAGGGGUCCAAUCCGUAGAGAUCAAGAGGAAUACUCAUUGCGAAGGCGACCUGCUAGACCAUAACUGACGCUGAUGCGCGAAAGCGUGGGGAGCAAACAGGAUUAGAUACCCGGGUAGUC
rnacentral:rRNA from 1 species